UGGGGAAUAUUGCACAAUGGGCGAAAGCCUGAUGCAGCGACGCCGCGUGCGGGAUGAAGGCCUUCGGGUUGUAAACCGCUUUUGAUUGGGAGCAAGCGAGAGUGAGUGUACCUUUCGAAUAAGCACCGGCUAACUACGUGCCAGCAGCCGCGGUAAUACGUAGGGUGCAAGCGUUAUCCGGAAUUAUUGGGCGUAAAGAGCUCGUAGGCGGUUUGUCGCGUCUGGUGUGAAAGUCCAUCGCUUAACGGUGGAUCUGCGCCGGGUACGGGCAGGCUAGAGUGCGACAGGGGAGACUGGAAUUCCCGGUGUA
rnacentral:rRNA from 1 species